rnacentral:rRNA from 1 species
ACCACAAGCUUAUGGAUCGCUUGGCUCACGUGUCGAAGAACACGGCUAGUUGUUGAAUUGGUGUUAGUUGCAGGACACAUCGAUCGUCGACACUUGAAUACACCUUGCGGCUCCUACGGCUAUCCGUCUCAGGGUUU